UACCCGGACGUUAGCUAUGAAUUGGUUUGGAAUUCACCAAGAUCGUAUUACUGGCUUGUACCCGGACGUUAGCUAUGAAUUGGUUUGGAAUUCACCAAGAUCGUAUUACUGGCUUGCUACUAGGCGUCGAAUUGGAAUUGAACCAAAUUCACCAAGAUCAUACUACUGCCUUGCUACUAGGCGUCGAAUUGGAAUUGGUUUGGAAUUCACCAAGAUCGUACUACUGCCUUGCUACUAGGCGUCGAAUUGGAAUUGAACCAAAUUCACCAAGAUCAUACUACUGCCUUGCUACUAGGCGUCGAAUUGGAAUUGAACCAAAUUCACCAAGAUCGUACUACUGGCUUGUACCUGGACGUGAAAAUGAAAUCUCGUCUAAAAUGUCACUACUGGCUUGUUACUGAAGCAGUAGCAGUGCAGUAGUGGUCGAAAUGCCCGAUUUGGCCAGUUUUGCUAUCGUAAAUGGAUCUCGAUAGCAGCGCGCACUUUGAAAAAUGCAUUCUUGUACCCAAAUCUAUGCACAGGGCUGCAGUAGUGCCUGCCAGUAGCAGUUUUGAGCCAAAUUCGUCAAGUUGGCCGGAAAUUUUUUUUUGGUGACAAGAUAGCAAAUUGUCUAGAAUGGUUAUAAAAGUGAGUUACAUAGUCCAUAGUGUCGUAUUUAGUGAGAAAACAGCAAAACACGGAUCGGGAAUCGAUCUGUGCACGGAUCAAAGUGCUCGAAAUGGACUGCAGAUAGCAUAUCUAGUCGUCUUAUGCCUAGUCUAGCACAGAAAUAUAGUUUAGUCGCACUCUGCAAACGAUAAUUUGGCAGUUCACUUUUCGAACGGCCCUUAUGCCUGUAAAAAAGUGAACUGCCAAAUACGAUGGAAAAGGCGGCCGUUCCAGAAUCGGCCAUAUUAGCCUGACUAGACUGCAUCCCGUCCGCUCUGCAAAGUUAACCAGGCUCAAGCGUGGGUAGUACUCAGGUGGGUGACCACUGGGGAAGUCCACGUGCUGAUUCUUUUUGCACAUCCAUUUACACAUCCUUGAUUACGAAAUUUUUUACCACAUGGUGUCACACACAGGCUUGUUCGGGGAUCGACUGGCCGGCGGCAAUCGUCGCCGCGAGCUCGACGCAUGCCAAUAUCUCCGCUUCUAGGCCUUCCCGCGCGACGCCACUUGGAGACAACACGUAUAACAUCAAUACAAAACAUAUCCUAGCUUCAUAGCGCGCGCGCCGACUCGGAAUACCCGCAAAUGUCGUACCAGCCUGUCUCAGGAUGGCGGCACAGGCCUCGGCGAGCUCGACAAACCUCCAUAUCUUCACUACCAGGUCGUCCCACGUGACGCCACUUUCGGAGCACCUGUUUAACAUCAUUACAAAGCAUAUCCUAGCUCGGCUGCAUGGGCGCCGAUUCGGAAGACUCACAGACCCGUUUCGUUGAGUCAAUCCCGUAUGCAGCUCAGCAUGCUCGAUUGGUUGAAACUGCACUUGUAGAGAUCGGAUUGACGCCGGGUCGCGCUUGAUUAUCGCGUAUGGCACUAGUACAAGCAUGUGUGCGUCGUCACAAUACGAAAUUGCCGCCUACAGGCCAAAUGCGACGCGAUUUAUCGGUCCCGGACAUCAAAAAAUCACUAAUCGACGAAUAAAAGCGUGUUCCGCCCCGAAUCUUCGCAAGGUCGUUACAUAUAUCGACGCAGCUCAUUACCAGCAACAUGAAGGUGGUCCCCGAUGAAAAACGCUGUUUUCGGUUUUCCGCUUUUUGCUCGAGAUAUUGUAUACCCCGGCUCUCGGCCCGCUCUGCAUCUAGAAAGUACUUUUCACGGCGCAUCUUUUUGGUCUCGACAUCCGAUCGCGUGAAUCGGGCUAAUUUUGACGCUACGACGCCAUUUUGACGUCAUGUAUUUCUGCAAAGUUUCAAAGCUUAGCCAAAUGAAGGUUAGGGCGCUCUCGUGCAGGGUCGUUCUUGCUCUAGGAAGUACUUUUCACGGCGCAUCUUUUUGGUCUUGACACCCGAUCGCUCAAAUCGGACUCCUUCAGGCCCAAAAUGACAUAUAUAGGUUCUGAAAGGUCCGAAAACGGUAUUUUGCCCAUAACUCCUCCAAAAGUUAAUAUUUUCCAACUUCUGAUAGCAUUUUUGGAUUCCCCGUGAAAUUUUACAUCUAGAUGCAUGACGAUCUCGCAUCCACGAGCAACUUGGUUUGGCGAACUAGACAUCGGCCAACAAAGUGGCGACUCGAUAAUACGACGUAACUAGUCGACCAUCCAGAAAGUGACUCCGCGAAGGCUUGAAACAUGAAAAGAUGCGCCUUAAAAAGUUAUGCAGCCUGUGCAGUCGUGGCGCGCUCAAAGCUUUCUGGUUGCCGAGAUACGAGCAUUUCCGUUUUGGGCCAUUUAGGGCCAACCGCUCGACAAACCUUCGAUAUCUGAUGAACGAUAAGGUUUCAGAGUCCAGGAACUAGUCAGUUGACUUCCCCUCGUCAAUACAAGAAUCGAGUGAAAAAAAAAUUUUCCGUCGAGGAGUAUCGAAUUUCACCAAGUGCCCGCCCAUACUGAAGCCAAGUCUAAUCUGCGGGCGAGAAUUCUUGGUGAAUUUUUCCAUCACUGUUUUACCUCGUACUUUGUGCCUGUAGCGUGUUUUGUAGUGUUUCUACCAUUUGGGAACGUGUAGCUUUGU